rnacentral:misc_RNA from 1 species
GAUGAAGAACGCAGCGAAAUGCGAUACGUAAUGUGAAUUGCAGAAUUCAGUGAGUCAUCGAAUCUUUGAACGCAUAUUGCGCUCUCUGGUAUUCCGGAGAGCAUGCUUGUUUGAGUAUCAGUAAACACCUCAACUCUUUUUUCUUUUUUGAAAUCGGAGCUGGACUUGAGUGAUCCCAACGCUUUCUUCCAAGAAAGUGGCGGGUUGCUUGAAAUGCAGGUGCAGCUGAACUUUUCUCUGAGCUAUAAGCAUAUCUAUUUAGUCUGCCUAAAAAACAGAUUAUUACCUUUGCUGCAGCUAACAUAAAGGAGACUAGUUCUUGUGCUGACUGAUGCAGGAUUCACAGAGACAGCUUCGGCUGACUUUGUAAACUCGAUCUCAAAUCAAGUAAGACUACCCGCUGAACUUAAGCAUAUCAAUAAGCGGAGGA